rnacentral:rRNA from 1 species
UGAGGAAUUUUGCGCAAUGGGAGCAAUCCUGACGCAGCAACGCCGCGUGGGUGAUGAAGGCCUUCGGGUCGUAAAGCCCUGUCAGGUGGGAAGAAUGUCCCGGGACUGAACAGGUUCCGGGCGUGACGGUACCACCAGAGGAAGCACCGGCUAACUCCGUGCCAGCAGCCGCGGUAAUACGGAGGGUGCAAGCGUUAUUCGGAAUUACUGGGCGUAAAGCGCGUGUAGGCGGUCCUGCAAGGCUGAUGUGAAAGCCCCGGGCUUAACCCGGGAAGGGCAUUGGAAACUGUGGGA